UCCACUGGAGCACAUUUUAGAGCGGACCAGACCAGAAGUUGAAGAACUACAGAAGAUGUAGCCGAGGAAGAGGGGGAAAGAGAGAGAAAUAAUACCGCCGUGCGCCACCGCGCUUCUUUGGAUUAGCCGAGAAAGGUGGAUGAUCCGCCGUUUCUUCCCGGAGGCUACGCUCUCAGGCGUUCGCCGUUGACGACGAUGCUACUAUCUACAUUGGACAUUAACAGAGCAGGUUUUGUGUGAAAACUAUGGGAUUUAUCAUGCCACAUCAUGUAUUGCAGCCAAAAAUGCAAAAAGCUGGAGCUGUGUUUUCCUUUCCUUCUCUGAGGAUUGCCCCUUUUCGCUGGCAAUAGGAGGCUCCAUGGAACAUUGCAGGAAGUAUGCCAGCCAGGCGCACGAUUCGGAUUGUGGAGUGGAAAUUAAGAACUUUGAUCUGUUAAUCAAUGUGGAAAUAGUAAGGUUUGAGUAUGCCUUUUUUUGGGUUUUACGCUCCCAUAUUGUGACAAGGAAAUCUAUGAUACGCCUGUUUUCACCACUAGGAAUAAGAACCAGAACUCAUCAUGCAUAGGUUUAAGACAAGAGGUGAUGUCUCAAUAGCCGACAUGGGACAAUAUGCUUAGAGGAUUACUAUGCGCCAUUCUGUACUAUGUUCCAAAGCUUGCCUUUGGAGGUAUUAUAGCCCUCCAUAAAAAAACCUUCCUUUUGUUGGAGAAAGUAUAUGCUUGAAAUUUACCUAGUUCGCUGUUGCAGAAAGCAUUAAUUAGGUUUUUUGUAGCACACUACGUGAUAAGGUGAACCUUAGCGAAGACGGGAACUUAUAACUCAAAGAAAAGUGUACACACCUCCGUGGGACGACGUAAAAGUAUUUAACCAUAUGGUAAUAACUAAAACAAGUAAUUUGUGAUAAUAAACUGAUCCUUUGAGCCAUAAUGUCAUCAUUAUGAUCUAUCAAUAUCUUACGUGACGUGCACAUGGAAUUAGUUCUGAGAAUGGACAGAGGAACUGUUAAAGUCGGAGUUUCUCUCAAACGCAUGAAAAUAUGGGCUACAGCGACUGUGAAAUAUGCCUAUUACAGUUGUCGUUUUUUUAGCUGGUGGUGAUGUUUCAUGUCUGUUAUGAAUCUGUUUUGCAGAGUGAAAUGUAUUACUGAGACAAAUUUGAACACUGGCAUUUCACCAAAUUUCCAUGACUUUACAUAUGCUAGAAGCUUAGGUUUGUUCUGUUGUAACAUGAGAGUUGCAUUUUGUUCCGAAUGUGACAAAAGGGUGGUGGGUGGUUUCACCAAACUUUGAGAAACGAAGGCACGCGAAAUGACGGGCAAACAGAUGUGUUUGUGGUAACAAAUGGUGACAUACUGAGAUGUGGUUAACUGAUCUCUGCUGCUCGUAUACAUGCAUCUUCGGGUGAGAUGCUGGUAAUUCUACAUCAUCUGCUCGUUUACAGGCAA